CCAAAGGGGUUGCCUCAGUACGGCGAGUGAGCGGCAAAAGCUCAAAUUUGAAAUCUAGCACCUUCGGUGUUCGAGUUGUAAUUUGAAGAUGGUAACCUUGGGUUUGGCUCUUGUCUAUGUUCCUUGGAACAGGACGUCAUAGAGGGUGAGAAUCCCGUCUGAUGAGAUGCCCAUUCCUAUGUAAGGUGCUAUCGAAGAGUCGAGUUGUUUGGGAAUGCAGCUCUAAGUGGGUGGUAAAUUCCAUCUAAAGCUAAAUAUUGGCGAGAGACCGAUAGCGAACAAGUACAGUGAUGGAAAGAUGAAAAGAACUUUGAAAAGAGAGUGAAAAAGUACGUGAAAUUGUUGAAAGGGAAGGGCAUUAGAUCAGACUUGGUGUUUUACGAUUAUCUUCUCUUCUUGAGUUGUGCACUCGUAUUUCACUGGGCCAGCAUCGAUUCGGAUGGCAAGAUAAUGGCAGUUGAAUGUGGCUUCACUUCGGUGGAGUGUUAUAGCUUCUGCUGAUAUUGCCUGUCUGGAUCGAGGGCUGCGUCUUUUGACUAGGAUGCUGGCGUAAUGAUCUAAUGCCGCCCGUCUUGAACAACGGACCA
rnacentral:rRNA from 1 species